rnacentral:lncRNA from 10 species
AGGGGUGAAUAAGGCGGAAGCUGAGGGGACAGUCACAGCCAGGACAGGAAUGUCACCCCCAGCUGGCAGACAGCACUCUGAGCAGCCAGGCCUGGGAUCCUCUGACCUGCCCACUUCAGGAGGCCAGUGUGGUCACUGCCACCCCACGGUCUGGGGACCCUGGACUCCAAACUUGUAAGUGCUAGAGUGGGCAGCUGGAGGCCAUCUGGGCACUUUAAAACACAGGUACUCGGGAACAAACCUCUGAUGGGGUGGGUGGGGUGAGGGAUGGGGGACCUUGGGUCCCAGGCCCUCUGUGAUUUUCUGAUGAACUUCCUUCUGUGGGAGCGCUGGCUCAGGGAGCUCCUGGCCUCUCCUCCUCUACCACUUCCUCCGCCACCCGCCUCCACCUGCUCCCGGCCUGAUGUCCGCAGGGUCAUGUGUGCAGUAGUCCCACGUCCAGGCUCACUGCAGAGGCAGCCCUCUUCAGACAGGAGGCAGAAGAGAGGGCCCCCGCAAGUUAGCUUUUACUUUAAUAUUAUUAUGUCAUUAUGUGUAUUAUUAUUGUCAUCAACAUCUUUUUAUUCUGCAAAUACUAAUUUCAUAUCCCAUAUGGGCAGGCUCUGUGCAAGGUAAAUUACUAAGUUUUGUUAAUGAAGUCAAACAAAGUCAUGGGUUCUAUAAGAAGACAACUAUUUUAAAAUAUGGCAUAAAUGACAUUAUAUAGUUAAGAUAGUAUAAAGACACGACUUGGAACAAGCAAACGUGGGAACAAGGCAAGGAGAACGUGUAGCUUCCUUUUGGAGUGCUCAUACUAAUUGCUGAUGAAACAUUUCUGCACUCGGCAGGGAAUCAGUCCACAGCCCCCCUCUGAUUAAAAUGCGACCCAGCUUGGACUCUGAGAGCAAAUGUCCCAGCGACCCUGGGAAGAAGUGAUGCAAUCCUCUCUUUGCGCUGUUUAUCAUUUCUGAGAAGCAAUGACAUAGCUGCCUCUUGCAGUUUGGUCUAAUUACUUGUCUGAUCUCCCCCAGGGAGAAGCAGCUCUGUUCUCCCUUGGCCUCCAGACAGUGGGGCCCACAGUCUCUACUGGAGGAGUGGGGCCGGCCAUCGUGGGCAGGGGAGGUGGAGACCCCUUGAAGCUGAUCUGUAUUGCAGGGUGUGGAGUAGGGCUGGGGGUUCCUGGGCCUCUAAUCUUUAAAAUCCAGCAAGAAGGUAGUGUACUGUGAGCCAGGCCCAUCAUUCUCUUUCCUCCCUGAAACCAUCGAUGAGUCUUCCCCUAAGGGCUGGAGGGGAGGGUCCCCUUUCUUUGACUUCCCUUGCAGUUCCUCUGAUGCUGAAGAGUAGGGCUUGCAGGGACUCUGCCUCCUGCAGGGAGCAGCCACUGUUUCCAGGGACCCUCACAGAAGAGGAGCUAAUUUCACACUUUGGGACUCCAUAGAAGCCAGCUUCCUGGCAGUUUGAAGUGUGCUUCUCACACAUCUUCCACCAGCUUGUUUGUCUGCCUAUAUCUGAGGAUCCUUUAAAGCGAUUGAAACAAAAUUAAGGGCAGAAUGAAUCUUUGGUGAUGAAAGUGAGAAUCUGGGAGAGAUGUGAAAACUGGAAGAGAAACAGGAAGUACCUCCAGGAUUCACCUAAAUAGAUGCUGCGGUUUCUAUCAAACCACAGGCCACCCCAGCAUCUCAGUGGCUUCUAUAGGUUGUCCUGAAAGAGCCAUGAGGCCAGGGCCCUUGAUGGAUUCCCAGAUACCAGCUGCUCCUCCAGACACCAAUUCCACCCUCCACCUUUCUGUGUCCGUCCCAGACCAAGGCAGCCCAGGUAAGGAGCCAUGAGUAGGAGGUUUCCCAGUGGGUAGAGGUGCCAGACUCAGCAGCUAGAAAUAUAGAAUGCUGGGUUAAAUGUAAAUUUCAGAUCAAUGAUAAUUUUUUGGGUAAGUGUAUCCCAUGCAGCAUUUGAAAUACAAUUUAAUCAAAUUUAACUAGAUGUCCUGCAUGUUGUAGGAAACUCUCUAGGAGGUGUGUCUCCAGGAUAGAGGGCCAGUGGAGAAUGGCAGCCCACACUGUUAUGGGAUGAAGUGUGUCCCCCAAAAUCAACAUGUUGAAGCUCUAACCCCCAGAACCCCGGAAUAAAACUAUAUUUGGAGUUAAGAUCUUU